rnacentral:misc_RNA from 1 species
GAUGAGAACGUAGUGAAAUGCGAUAAGUAAUGUGAAUUGCAGAAUCCAGUGAAUCAUCGAAUCUUUGAACGCACAUUGCGCCCGCCAGCAUUCUGGCGGGCAUGCCUGUUCGAGCGUCAUUUCAACCCUCGACCUCCCUUUGGGGAAGUCGGCGUUGGGGACCGGCAGCACACCGCCGGCCCUGAAAUGGAGUGGCGGCCCGUCCGCGGCGACCUCUGCGUAGUAAACCAACUCGCACCGGAACCCCGACGUGGCCACGCCGUAAAACACCCAACUUCUGAACGUUGACCUCGAAUCAGGUAGGACUACCCGCUGAACUUAAGCAUAUCAAUAAGCGGAGGA